AUACGGAGGGGGCUAGCGUUGUUCGGAAUUACUGGGCGUAAAGCGCGCGUAGGCGGACCUGUAAGUCGGGGGUGAAAGCCCGAGGCUCAACCUCGGAACUGCCUUCGAUACUACAGGUCUUGAGUCCGAGAGAGGUGAGUGGAAUUCCUAGUGUAGAGGUGAAAUUCGUAGAUACUAGGAAGAACACCAGUGGCGAAGGCGGCUCACUGGCUCGGUACUGACGCUGAGGUGCGAAAGCGUGGGGAGCAAACAGGAUUAGAAACCCCAGUAGUCC
rnacentral:rRNA from 1 species